GUCUGAGGCCGCAACGCCCUGAAGGCGCCCGAUCUCGUCCGAUCUGGGAAGCUAAGCAGGGUCGGCCCGGUCGGGACCUGGAUGGGAGAAUUAGAAA
rnacentral:rRNA from 1 species